rnacentral:rRNA from 1 species
AUGCCACGUAGCAGCACACCAGGCAGAACAAACUCACUGCCGUCGCAGGGGCACGGACACGCGCACCGACACUGCUCGUCUUCAUCCUAUCGCCGUCCCCGAUCUCUAUCUCUCUUCGACUCCUCCCGCCACCUUCAUCACCGAUCCCCGGGCUUAUCUUUCCCCCACGUCACUCAAGAACGCUGCGACACCUCGAUCCUUUGGCCUUUAGCAUCUCCGACCCACCAGCACACCUAUAAAUCGCGUCGCCCGGUGGCAAGGAAGGCAUAUUCGUCCACAGAGGAACCGGAAGAGAGGGAUAGAGGUGAGAGGAUUUGGAGCUCGUCGGAGCUCUCUCUCCUGGACCGUCCGCGAUUGUACUACAUGGGGAUGAAACAGUCGACGAUGACUGCGUCCGGCGGCGGCGCCAAGAGGGCCCUCCGCCGACUGCCGCACGUGUACAAAAAGGUGCUCGAGCUGCCACCGGUGGGCGCUAACGUCAGGGCGUUCGAGGGCACCACCGCGCUCCACUUCUUCGCGGCCUGCGUCCCCAUGGGUGAGGUGAGGGCGUGCCUCGUGAGGAUUUACCCCGGGGUCGUCAAGGUGGUGGUGGUGCAUGCUGGGACAGGAGACGACGAGGAUGGCGAUGACAUGGAGCUUGAUAGGUGGAGGUACCAGCUGCCUGAAGACUGUUGCCCGGAGCUGGCUAUGGCUGGCUAUGUCGACUGACACCUUAUCGUGACGGUGCCCAAGGGCCGCGGCGAAGGCGGUGAUGGGGCUCGGAGGUGCUGCAAUGGAGCAGCAGGGGAGAUUGGUGGGAAGCUCGUGGCCGUGCAAUUGAACCAGUGGGGUACUAGUGAGCGAGUGUGA